rnacentral:lncRNA from 1 species
UUAUUGAGUAUUUGAUUGGUAAUGGCUAAGCAUGGGUAUAUAGCGCCAGUACGUUGAUGGGCUAUAUAGUAGGGAGAAUGGUGAGACCAAUCAGGUACGAUAUUCUUGGACAUACGUGGUUCGGUGAUUGGAAGUAUCACUGGCGAAAACGGCGCCUUAAAGAACGCACGUAAAUGACUUAUAGACACACGUGGUUCGGUGGUUAUGGGAAUAUCACUGGUGAAAACGGCGCCUUAAAGAACGCACGAUGUUGUCUAUAGCCGAUGUCACCUUGGCGAAAACGG